UUUACUUAGAUCAUUACUGCAAGGAUUACACAAUGCUUUUCAGAACAACUGAAGAAGUAUGCACACUUAAUCAAGAUUGUUCCAGUGGUGGUGUCAGUGAACUAUGGCCCCUCCGGUAGAACCAGGGCUGUGUACCUUGUUUCCGUACCGUCCUGUUCCAGUGGAACCAUUGCCUCUCCCUAAGCUGAGUUUGACUGAUUGUUCCAGUGGUGGUGUCAGUGAACUAUGGCCCCUCCGGUAGAACCAGGGCUGUGUACCUUGUUUCCGUACCGUCCUGUUCCAGUGGAACCAUUGCCUCUCCCUAAGCUGAGUUUGACUGGCACUCUUUCGUUGUUCUGUCGCUAAAUUGUCAUCCCGGAUAACCAAGGGAGGAAGGAUAAAAACACAGAAAACAGCAAGUCAAUGAACUGAAUAAUGGACAAAUGACGCUACAUUUGCCAAAUGUACUUGGGAAGUCAGAAUCCAGUCCAGCCCGGGAGAGACAGCAACAUUCCCCCCAGCACAACCAGCAUCAGG